GGUGGCUCAGUGGUAGAGCGCUUGCCUCGCAUGCAUGAAGCCCUUGGUUCAACUCCUCAGCACCA
rfam:Dipodomys ordii contig_54648, whole genome shotgun sequence.